AGUGCCUUUUAGAUAGGGGUGAGGUUUGUCUUGGAUGUCGGAAGCGGGUGAAGAUGUAAAGUUGAAAAAUAUACAGAUAGUGGGACGUAAGCACUCUUAACCCCAUGUCAAAUUUAAAAAAAUUCCAUGAAACAUUUUCAAAAUAUUUAGCUGUUUCCAUACAUUUUAGACACCCUAUAUAUAUGUAUGUUAUGGGUAAAGUCCAGAUUUGGAUGAUGUCACAUUCGAAGUUUGAAGAAAUAUUUGCACAAGUGCAGUUUUUCUUUAUUGACCUGAUAGCUGUCUAUUUAUGUAGACUAUGGAUGUAGUGUAGACUUGAGGUUGGAGAGGAGUACAUAUAGUACAUCCAAGAGUUUGGACCAAACAUCCAUGAUUUAGGCAGAGAAGCAAUACAUAUGGAUUGAUCAAAAAGUUGCCAAGAAUUCUAGCCCAAACAUUAAUGCAAUCCUGAUGUUGAAAGCCACAAGGAAGUCGCA
rnacentral:lncRNA from 1 species